UUACUCGAUGUCUAGAUCAAAUUGUCAUCUGAUUAAUUUCCUGAUGAUGUUUUCCAAAGUGUGUUUAUAACCAAGUUUAUCCCUUUUGAUUUUCUUGUUUUAAGCUUAAUAAGCCUUAAAUUAGACAUUUUCCUAGAAAACCGGGCAAGAUAUCAAGGAAAGUGUUAUAAAAAGUAUAUAUUUGCCAAAGAUUGCUGUAGAAAGUUGAAACAG